rnacentral:rRNA from 1 species
GUGUCAGCAGCCGCGGUAAUACAGAGGUGGCAAGCGUUGUUCGGAAUUACUGGGCGUAAAGGGCGCGUAGGCGGUCUUGCAAGUCCCGUGUGAAAUCCCUCGGCUCAACUGAGGAACUGCACGGGAAACUGCUUGGCUUGAGUUCGGGAGAGGGAAGCGGAAUUCCGGGUGUAGCGGUGAAAUGCGUAGAUAUCCGGAGGAACACCGGUGGCGAAGGCGGCUUCCUGGACCGACACUGACGCUGAGGCGCGAAAGCUAGGGGAGCAAACGGGAUUAGAUACCCCAGUAGUCC